GACAGAGGGUGCAAACGUUGUUCGGAAUUACUGGGCGUAAAGGGCGCGUAGGCGGCCUACUAAGUCAGACGUGAAAUCCCCCGGCUUAACCUGGGAACUGCGUCUGAUACUGGAAGGCUUGAGUAUGGGAGAGGGAUGUAGAAUUCCAGGUGUAGCGGUGAAAUGCGUAGAUAUCUGGAGGAAUACCGGUGGCGAAGGCGGCAUCCUGGACCAUUACUGACGCUGAGGCGCGAAAGCUAGGGGAGCAAACGGG
rnacentral:rRNA from 1 species